GCUUGGAGGACAAGUGGAAAUAGAACAGAACUUUCUUAACAACAAGUUAAAGACCAUCACUGCAUACUUUGGUGACCUGAUCAGAAGACCAGCACUUCUGAAGACCAGCACUUCUGAAGCGGAAGUGUGAUACUGUAAAGCACAGAGAGAUCAUGUGGAGUGAGGAUGUAUGACAUUCAAGUGAGAGACAGGAGGAAGGCCUUCCUAGGUUCUUUAAUACUGUGUGCACAUGUGAUGUGGAAAACUCCGAGUUUUAAAGGAUGCUAAUGAAGUGGUUUGAGAUCUUUAGGUAAUGGUAAUGGAUCUGUGUUGUACACUUUAAAACAGCAUCAGGGCAAGGUGAUAGUGGUGCCUGCAAUCCCAGCACUUCAGAAAGAUCAUGAGUUCAAGCUCAUGCUGUGCUUCCUAACAAAUCAAGGCUGGCCUGAGCUACAUGAGAUCUUGCCACAAAAAAGAAAAAAAUCAUAAAAAGUCUAGGCAUAUCCCUGUGCUUAAAUUAAGUACAUCUGUAUAUGUAUUUGUUUUCAUUCUUUAACUGUUUUAGCUUAACAUCUUUGUGUCUGUGUAAGUAAUUAUUAGUUUUUUAAAAUAUAAAGAAAAACAAAGCAAUUCUACCUACACGUGUAAUCCCUAUUGAAAUAAUGUUACCAAUUUAAUGCUAACACAGAAAAAGUAAAACUCCCACCACCUAACCUACCUUCUUUUCAGCUAUCUAAAGCUAAUCACAGUUAGCAGGACUUUGCUUUUUAACUUUUUUAUUACAUUUUUAUUUUGUCUAUAUGUGCAUGCAUGCGUGUGUGUAGAGGUCAGAGGACAACUUGCUAGAGUCCAUUCUCUACUUACACCAUGUGGGUUCCUGGGAAUCAAGUUAAAGUCAUUAGACUUUAUAACCAGAGCCUUUACCUACUGAGCCAACCCAUUGGUCCCCUCUUAAUUCUUCUGAAGAAAAGAUCGCAGUAUAACAGUGUACCCCGGUGCACUUCUCCAUUGAUGCACUCACUGUGCGUUCAUUGCCUUCCCUUUGUGGAUACUUAAUGUAUAGUAUAUGAAAUAAUUGCUUUUGUGAGAGAGAGAAUGUGUUUGUGCGCAAGAGAGAUGUGCGUGUGUGCAUGUGUGUGCGCCUACUUUGACCCAAGUCCAGGGAAGAGUGUUGGAUUCCUUAUAGCUGGAGUUACAGAUGGUUAUGAGCUGUCAAAUGUGGGUACUGGGAAAUGCACUUGGGUCCUCUGGAAGUGGAAGUAAGUUCUCUCUCCAGCCCAAGAUGGGCUUUUUAAUCAGUGUUUUUGCUUUUCUGUUUUGGUAUGGUUUUGUUGUUAUUGUUUUGUUUUGUCUUGUUUUGUUUUUUUGUAUACCCAGGCUGGCCUCAUACUUUGUGUGUAACUCAGAGUGACUUUGAGCUCCUAACCCUUCUGGCUCCACCUACUGCACCUGGCUUAUCAGAGUAUCUUGAAAGCCAUUCUAUUUCAGUUCAUACAUGUCAAUCUACCUCGUGUUUUAAAUGGCUAUUUUGUAUUCCAUCAUCUAUAUAUAUAAACUAGUUCCCUACUGAGAGGCACCCAAGCUGUUUUUAUGGUUUUAUCGUUACCAACUGUUUAUGCACUGUCUUUCCUUACAAUAUUUGCUGUUGAACAAGUAUUUCAGUUGGUAAGUUUCUAGAAGUUACACCACUGGGCUUUUGUACAUUUCAGUCUCGAUAAAAAGACUAAAUUGCUUCAAUAAAAUUGAACUUGCUUUUAGGCUUAUC
rnacentral:lncRNA from 1 species